GGACGUUUUAGAAUUUAGAGUAUAGACGGUUGUUUAAGCGGCCUAGGCGGACUCUGGCGGGUCCAGCGGACCAACGUUUGACUUUAUAUUUUAUGUUUUAAGAAAGAUCAAGGUUCUCCUAAGCUCAAAACGACGUCGCUUCUCAGGACGAAUUUUCUGCGCAACGUUCUGCUCUUUAAUCCCGCACUCUAUCCGAGCUGCUUCUUCUUCCGCCGGAAUAAGCUCUCAACAUUUUUCCGGUGAGUUCUGCAUCCCGUACCUCCGAUAUUUCGUAAUAGUGGCAAUACCAAUUCCGGCAAUCUCCUACAAUCUUCUUUUCGAACAAAACGCGCAGAUUGAUUUCUCCUUAACCAUGAGCGAGAGUGAGAUUCCGUCUCUCAUCUCUCUCUGCCUCGACGCAGUCAAAUCCGAUCUUGUUCGCGGCGAUGAUCUGCUUCCGAUUAUCCAGGAGCUCCCUCCGAACUUGCUCGAUCUUCUCGUUUUGCGGUUGCCGCCGUUCGCCUUGCAGAAGCUGCACCGAGAAAUGCCUUAUGAUGAUCAAGAGGAUGAGUUUUCUGAUGAGUGCAUUGGAAAUGGUAGAAAGCGAGGACGGUCGGCGAGGUCAAGGAAAUUCGACAAGGCGUGGAGAGAGUUUUAUAAAUCGCGGUGGCCAGUGCUUGGUAGUAGGAUUGAAACGGAUGACUGGCAGCAGAUUUAUUGGGAAACUCAUCUGCAAAAAUGUCUAGAUGAAGUAGCAGAGCUAGCUUCGCUGCCCUCAUUUGAUGGGUGCCUUGGUGAUGUCAAGAUUUCAGACUCGUUAUUGAAAUUGAUAGGUUGUGAAGGUGAUAUGGCUACGUCAACUCCUGGUUAUUCCACACUUUAUCACCAUUUUCUACACUUUGGUUAUUUAGCCAGAACCUUGAGACUUCAAAAUGUUUUUUGUGGGGAAGAAAUUUGUCACUUAUUGAAGAGCAGCAAAUUGCAGAGCUUGGAAGUAAGGUGGAUAAGAUCCAAGGACCAUAUUAACGGAGUAUGCAAGCUUCUCAACCAGAACAGUGAAACUUUAACCUCGCUUGAAUUCAUUCACUGUACACUUUCUUCAGCUUCUAUCACAGAAAUUUGUACUUCUCUAUCCCCAAGGAGUUUGCAAGCACAUGGAAUAAAACACUUCUCUAUCAGCACAACUAGAUUUCUUGAAGCCAACCCAUCGUCUGUACAUAUCGAACUUGUGUCAUUUUUAUCUUCAGGAAGGUCUUUGUAUUGUUUGAAACUCUCCGACAACCACCAUGGCCAGAAAUUUGCAGAAGUGGUAUUUAGUACGCUUCUCAAUGCCUCGUCCAGUCUAUCUGUCCUUGACCUUUCAGAAAACAAUAUAUCAGGCUGGCUUUCUGAACUCUGUGGGAGAUCACAAAGGAACCGUCGAACACCUUUAGAAGUUGGGAAGUCCUUGCAAUCAUUACGGGUGCUCAAUUUAAGGGGAAACAAUCUCAAUAAAGAUGAUGCAGAUGACCUUAGGUAUGCUCUUGUUCAUAUGCCUAAGUUGGAGGUCCUGGAUAUGAGUGAUAAUCCUAUUGAGGAUGAUGGAAUCAGGAAUUUGAUUCCGUUAUUUAUGGAAGCUUCAGAAAAAGGCACUCCCCUUGUUGAUUUAAUGUUGGAAAACUGUGAGCUUUCCUGUCAUGGAGUGACUCAACUUAUGAAAACCCUUUCUAGCCUAAGCCGACCAUUAAAGUCUCUAUCUAUUGCAGGAAAUGACCUUGGCAGUCAAGUAGCAGCAGCUUUGGGAGAACUUUUGCGUACACCCAUUCAAGUACUGGAUGCUGAAGGUAUUGGAUUAGGUUCAUCUGGUUUUCGGGUUCUACAAGAAGAACUUACUACGGAAAUAGAGCUAGUCGAGAUCAACUUAAGUGAAAAUCGUGGAGGAAUUGAAACAGCAAAUUUUUUGUCAAAGAUUAUUUCAAUGGCUCCGAAACUUGUUAAAGUCAACGCUGCAUAUAAUCUUAUGCCUGCAGAAUCAUUGACGGCCAUAUGCUCUGCCAUUAAAAAUGCAAAAGGUACUCUGCGGCAUUUGGACUUGAGCGGAAAUAUUUGGGACUAUCAGCCGGUCUAUGAUUCUAUGCUUGCCGACAUCCAAUGUAAUGAAGGGUUCGUUUUGAUUCUUCCAUCACUUACUCCAGAUUUACCCUAUGAUGCUGACCCAUAGAGAGUUGGCUCAUGAUGCAAUUUCUUCAACCAAACUGACACGCAGUUGCCACUUCCCCACUGUGAAACAAAGUAUGCAGCUAUUGAUUUGUUAAUCUGUUAUGGCUAAUAGAAAAAUCAUUCGAUUAUUAAAUUUCAAGGUGGUCGUGUAGAAAUCAGUGAGACAAACUCAUAGCCUAAGAUUAACAUGAGGUCAUCCGUUUCUGAGAUGAUUGAUGAAAAGACACCCUAGCAUUCAGCACACUGAUCUGUACAAAUGUGAACCAAGCAGAUUACGACUGCUUCUUUUGUUGAUUCGCUUGUAAUUGACUUCUCUCAUUACUUGCUUUUCCAAAAUCACACCUUUUCCCUUAUUAGUCGAUCGCUCGAAUCGGUUGCAGAAAUAGAAGCAGAAGUGGAGGGAGAUAGUUAUGAUAGCUCUCUUUAUCUACAUUGAUGCAUAUGCAGAAGAACAUAACCAUGUGCUACUGUUCAGCUACUUGAGCUCACUGAUGCCCAAAGUUUUGGCCGGACGAACUCUGUAAUCAUCAGGGGUGAAACUUCCAGCAGCCAAAAUAUCGAGCCCCAGGAAUUUCUAGCUUUCCGCAGUUAACACGAAGUAUUACUCUUAAUUAUGCGAUGAUAAUGCUAGUUAAGUAUGAAAACUAGGUAGCUGAAUCUACCUCGCGGGAACAGAAAGUUCAGUGGCGACUGGUGAGGCAGAACUGAGAGAUAUUUUGAAGGAAGCAGAAGAAUGUGCACUGUGAAAAGACACUGAUUCUGUGCCCUUCUGAUCAUCAUCCCCGUUUGGCAAACUUUAAGGUUUGUAGUUCUGGCUACCAACCUUGAGCUUCAGCAGUCGAUCACAAAUACUUGUUAAAUGAAAAUAGAUAUAACGUGUGGUGUCUGGGAAGUUGGUCCGGACUAUGCAGAGUUUUAGAUUUCACUUUCAUUCGUUGAGACUUGAAACAAAUUAAAUGGCAAGGUUCAUAGUGACCAACUUCAUGGGAAACAUCAUGCCCCAUUGCCCCAACAUCUUUGCUCAUG